rnacentral:rRNA from 1 species
CCUACGGGCGGCAGCAGUGAGGAAUAUUGGUCAAUGGACGAGAGUCUGAACCAGCCAAGUAGCGUGAAGGAUGACUGCCCUAUGGGUUGUAAACUUCUUUUAUAUGGGAAUAAAAUGUUCCACGUGUGGGAUUUUGUAUGUACCAUAUGAAUAAGGAUCGGCUAACUCCGUGCCAGCAGCCGUGGUAAUACGGAGGAUCCGAGCGUUAUCCGGAUUUAUUGGGUUUAAAGGGAGCGUAGGUGGAUUGUUAAGUCAGUUGUGAAAGUUUGCGGCUCAACCGUAAAAUUGCAGUUGAAACUGGCAGUCUUGAGUACAGUAGAGGUGGGCGGAAUUCGUGGUGUAGCGGUGAAAUGCUUAGAUAUCACGAAGAACUCCGAUUGCGAAGGCAGUUCACUGGACUGCAACUGACACUGAGGCUCGAAAGUGUGGGUAUCAAACAGGAUUAGAUACCCCAGUAGUC